rnacentral:rRNA from 1 species
AUUGAACGCUGGCGGAAUGCUUUACACAUGCAAGUCGAGCGGCAGCGCGGGGGCAACCCUGGCGGCGAGCGGCGAACGGGUGAGUAACAUAUCGGAACGUACCCCGUCGUGGGGGAUAACACAGCGAAAGCUGUGCUAAUACCGCAUACGACCUGAGGGUGAAAGCGGGGGAUCGCAAGACCUCGCGCGAUGGGAGCGGCCGAUAUCGGAUUAGCUUGUUGGUGAGGUAAAGGCUCACCAAGGCGACGAUCCGUAGCUGGUCUGAGAGGACGACCAGCCACACUGGAACUGAGACACGGUCCAGACUCCUACGGGAGGCAGCAGUGGGGAAUUUUGGACAAUGGGGGCAACCCUGAUCCAGCCAUUCCGCGUGAGUGAAGAAGGCCUCGGUUGUAAGGACUCUUUCUAGCAGGAACGAAACGGUAGGACCGAUUAAUAAC